rnacentral:snoRNA from 1 species
UCUGCCCCUAGAGGCAUCGCUGUUCCUUCACAUGCCCUUCAGGAGAUGGCAGUGUGGAGAGAGUCUAUGUCUGUGCUCAGUGUUCUGAGCUAUGAAAUCUGAAUGACUAGUCGCCUAAUAUA